rnacentral:rRNA from 1 species
GAUGAACGCUGGCGGCGUGCCUAAUACAUGCAAGUCGAGCGAAUGGAUUAAGAGCUUGCUCUUAUGAAGUUAGCGGCGGACGGGUGAGUAACACGUGGUAACCUGCCCAUAAGACUGGGAUAACUCCGGGAAACCGGGGCUAAUACCGGAUAACAUUUUGAACCGCAUGGUUCGAAAUUGAAAGGCGGCUUCGGCUGUCACUUAUGGAUGGACCCGCGUCGCAUUAGCUAGUUGGUGAGGUAACGGCUCACCAAGGCAACGAUGCGUAGCCGACCGGGGAGGGUGAUCGGCCACACUGGGAAUGAGACACGGCCCAGACUCCUACGGGAGGCAGCAGUAGGGAAUCUUCCGCAAUGGACGAAAGUCUGACGGAGCAACGCCGCGUGAGUGAUGAAGGCUUUCGGGUCGUAAAACUCUGUUGUUAGGGAAGAACAAGUGCUAGUUGAAUAAGCUGGCACCUUGACGGUACCUAACCAGAAAGCCACGGCUAACUACGUGCCAGCCGCCGCAGUAA